AAAAAAAAUUUAAAAAUUUUUUAAAAAUUAAAAAAAAAAAUAAGACUUUGAGAAUCACUACAAGAAAAACUCCUUGUGGUAAAAGUUGUAAGACAUGGUUCGAGAUGAGAAUCCACAAGCGACUCAUUGGUUUGCACAGUCUUUCUGAGAUUGUUGAGCAAAUUACUUCUAUCAGUAUUGAGCCAGGAGUUGAGGUUGAAGUCACCAUUGCAGAUGCUUAA
rnacentral:lncRNA from 1 species